CAGUCGCCGCGGUAAUACGGAGGGUGCAAGCGUUAAUCGGAAUUACUGGGCGUAAAGCGCACGCAGGCGGUCUGACAAGUCAGAUGUGAAAUCCCCGGGCUUAACCUGGAAACUGCAUUUGAAACUGUCAGGCUGGAGUCUUGUAGAGGGGGGUGGAAUUCCAGGUGUAGCGGUGAAAUGCGUAGAGAUCUGGAGGAAUACCGGUGGCGAAGGCGGCCCCCUGGACAAAGACUGACGCUCAGGUGCGAAAGCGUGGGGAGCAAACAGGAUUAGAUACCCGUGUAGUCCCUGUCUCUUAUAC
rnacentral:rRNA from 1 species